AAAGUAUAAAAGUGAUUGGUGUUCGAAAACAGUUUUUGGAUCAUGUUUACAUAAGGACCAUAAAAGGACUAUACAAACAAGGUCUACUUACUCUAGGCCUAAGUCUAUUUACAUAGCGGUUCUUAUAUAUGAAGGUAAGUUAGUUUCUAUAUGUUCUCAGUACAGCUUUGCAUAUAAUAAAAUGCCACAUAUCUCUUUUAAAGCACCCCCUAAAAUCUCUUAAAACGAAUACAUCUAAAUGUUUUAAGUACGAUAAAAUUUUCUGUUCUCGUAAAUACCCGC
rnacentral:lncRNA from 1 species